rnacentral:lncRNA from 10 species
UUUUGACGGCUUGGUUGUCUGUUCUAUCGGCUUUUCUGAAGCCUGAGGGUUCAAGGAUUAAAGAAUUAUAACCCUUGUUCUGGACAAUUUGGGUUUGGCUUUCUCACUGAAAUCCUACAAAUGUCUCCUACUAGGGACUACCUAUUUCCAUUAAUAUUAUCUAUUUUCUCCAUCUGAAGGUGGAGCACGGACUAUUCUCUCAUGUUGAAUGUGGCACUUUUUACAUACAAGCAGGAGAGCAACUACACCAAGAUUUUGGAAAACAUGUUAUGUAAGUUUUUAUUUUUAAAAUCAGGAGAGAAUUUCUGCAACAUCCUAUGACCACAGAUCCCUACCCAUCUGCAUUGGGGCACUUACAGAUCACCUUCUCUUCUGAACUUUGUAUGAAGUGACCAUGUCCCUCCUAUCCCUUUCCAUGUGCACAAGAUCAUGUCAUCUCUAGCUUAUUCAAAGACAUUGCCUUAGCAAUCUGCCC